CGACUGCCCCAAAGGACAGACACGUGACAUUGACAAAAGAGAAAGAGAAACAAGAAAGUGAAUUUCUGGGAAGUAUGAAGAAGUAAACAGGACCAAGAGAAUUGCUGUUUUUGAGCAGAUAAACUGGAUCUGAGAAGACAAAAAAGGAGUUCUGUUCCUUUAGAGAGCCCUGACUAAUACAGAUGACAACUUGCCCGAACUUCACCAAUUCCUAGUGAGGAUGUCCAGCUGAAGGAAGGGAAGCAGAGGCCUGGAGGGCUAACCUCCCAAAGCCACAUAAAUGUCCCCUCCUAGUCUGGCCACAUUGCAGAACGAUUCCUGAGGAAGGAGUGGAAGAAUGGGGGUGACCCCCAACAUUUGCCCCAAGCUUCCAGCAAGAGAAGCAGAGAAUAACAGGGCCCGUCUCAGGCUGGCUCUCCUCUGUUGCUGAAGGCAGGGUCCAAAAUGAGGGAACUUCUUAGGACCAUGGUCAUAGGUCCUGUAUGGCUGCUGUGGUCUUGAGAAGAGCAGGUACUCUGCAUCUGUUUUGGAGCUUGCUCAGAAUGGGUCUCAUGCCAUCCAGGCUGACCUCACAUUUGCUGUGUACCCAAGGAUAAACUUCAAUUUCUGAUUCUCUUGCCUCCACCUCUGGAGUACCGGGAUUACAGACAGAGAAUAAAAACAGCAGUGCUGCCAGGUCAGACCAGGAAGCGAUGACAUCAGAGCUGUGGUGGUUGCUAGCAGGACACCUGCACUUCCACGGGAGAGAUGGCAGCUUUUGCAGAAAGUGAAGAAGAGUGAGACAGCUGUUUGCUCCUCCGGAGUUAGAUGGAUGUUCGAGUUGAGGCACAGUAUGGUUCCCAAGGGAAGUCCAGGCUCCUCCUCGGUCUUCAGGUGGUCUGCCGAGUGACCGAAGGCAUCAGGUGUGUGGCCUGGGAUGGUGGCCCACCUCAUCUUCCCACCCACUUGCCCUCUGCUCACCUUCCACGGCCAUGCGUUCCCGCAGCUCCUGCUGCAGCCGGCUCUGGCGGUCUUCCAGCUCCAGCUCCCGGGCACUGAGACAGGGAGAGAUGGCCACAGUGACUUUUGGACUAGU